AUCAUGAACUGCACGGUCAGGCAUCAGAUUGCUAUAUCAUGUGAUGUGGUUAGUUGAUAUGUUUAACACCUACCCCGGCGUGAGAUCUGGCAUGCAUCUGCAAUGUAGUCAGGCAGGAAUGCCACCGGUGUGUGGCCCUUCGUCAAUUGCUUGCAUCCUCUCUCCUCGCCUCCUCAAAAUGCAAUGGAGGAGAAAGGUUGAAGGGAGCAACAUCUGAUCUAACCCGCUAAUCCGUGUUGAAAAGGGGGCGAGGAAAGAGAAUGUGAGGAAUCGAGAUGAUGUACUGCACUGGUCUGGGGGAAGAAGAUUGGGUUUUUCGAGUGGGACGCCUGAUUCUUGCCCGGGUGGGCAAUUUCAUCCAUUUGCACCCAGCAUAUACUCCGAAGUACCUGCUCAAAAGAGACAGCAAUGCCGGCUAUGAGGGGUGGAGUUAAAUAAAAUAAAAAGGAAAUGCAUGUGGUGAAGAUAAA